GAGUUUGAUCCUGGCUCAGGAUGAACGCUGGCGGCGUGCUUAACACAUGCAAGUCGAACGAAGCACUUACUUACGAUCCCUUCGGGGUGACGAGUUUGUGACUGAGUGGCGGACGGGUGAGUAACGCGUGGGUAACCUGCCGUAUGCAGGGGGACAACAGUUGGAAACGACUGCUAAUACCGCAUAAGCGCACAGCAUCGCAUGAUGCAGUGUGAAAAACUCCGGUGGCAUACGAUGGACCCGCGUCUGAUUAGGUAGUUGGUGAGGUAACGGCCCACCAAGCCGACGAUCAGUAGCCGACCUGAGAGGGUGACCGGCCACAUUGGGACUGAGACACGGCCCAAACUCCUACGGGAGGCAGCAGUGGGGAAUAUUGGACAAUGGGGGAAACCCUGAUCCAGCGACGCCGCGUGAGUGAAGAAAUAUUUCGGUAUGUAAAGCUCUAUCAGCAGGGAAGAAAAUGACGGUACCUGACUAAGAAGCCCCGGCUAACUACGUGCCAGCAGCCGCGGUAAUACGUAGGGGGCAAGCGUUAUCCGGAUUUACUGGGUGUAAAGGGAGCGCAGCCGGCAGGCAAGUCUGAUGUGAAAACCCGGGGCUCAACCCCGGAUUGCAUUGAACUGUUCAGCUUGAUGUCGGAAGGUUAGCGGAUUCCUAGUGUAGCGGUGAAAUGCGUAGAUAUUAGGAGGAACACCAGUGGCGAAGGCGGCUUACUGGACGAUA
rnacentral:rRNA from 1 species